rnacentral:lncRNA from 1 species
ACUCAAUUGUUAAAGGCUGUAUGAUGAGCUAUAGUUGCGUACUUCAUUUGGUCUGUGGUGGUGAAGUUAUUACAUUAGCAAUCAUGCCAUACUACAUGGUGACUGCAAUAUGAUUCUGUUGUAUGGAACAGACCAUAAAUCUCAUUUAUAAAAAAAUACUGAUUAAUGUCUUGAGUUUCAAAAGAAACCACAAUCCAGAUAACAUUAACAAUUAACCAUAAUGAGCAGAAGAUUUGUGGAAAAAUUGCAACAUGAC